rnacentral:lncRNA from 10 species
AGUUUCUUGCAAACCCGGAAGCAGAUCUCUUGGAGUGAAGGCUGUUAGUCGCCGCGUAGAACCCUGGAAGAAGAGGAAGAGGAAGGCAAAGGAGUCAGGGAUGGCUCUUCCUCAGACGGAAUCUCGCUCUGUGUCACCCAGGCUGGAGUGCAGUGGUGCGAUCUCGGCUCACUGCAAGCCCCGCCUCCCAGGUUCAUGCCAUUCUCCUGCCUCAGCCUCCCGACCAGCUGGGACUACAGGCGUCCGCCACCACGCCUGGCUAAUUUAUUUUUGUAUUUUUAGUAGAGACGGGGUUUCACCGUGUUAGCCAGGAUGGUCUCGAUCUCCUGACCUCGUGAUCCACCCGCCUCGGCCUCCCAAAGUGCUGGGAUUACAGGCAUGAGCCACUGUGCUCAGCCAAAACUCAUAGCCACUUUUAUCUUUGUUUUCUCUUUUGAUUCUACCCAAAUUUCCAGUGAGAAAGUCCUGAAUUCAGUGCUGAAAUUAGGUUUUUACAUGUGCUUUUUUCUAUAAGUGUGACCUUGUAAUAAAGGAAGUGGUUUGUUGUCCUUGAUAAUCUCAUUUGGCUCCUGUGUAGUUCUUUGAGAUAAUUCCCCUGCCAGCUGGUUGUCU